GUUCACUGAGUCCACUGGAUUAGCAAAGCAGGACAACGCCUUCUGUACCACCAUCUAUGCCAUCUAGUUAGGAGGCAGAAUCUCAGGACUAAUUGCUUCAUUUCUUCAUUUGGCCUUGAAAAAACAUUUCGUUAUUUGUUGUUGCCUGCUAUGUGGAAGGGACCAAGAAUAUCCUCUAAAACAGAAUCUGUUUUGUUUGGUGCUAUGGACACCCUAGGGAGGAAAAAAUUUUUUUGAAAGAGGAGCUGUCAUUUCCAACUUAUCUUUAUUACUCACCUCAAUGCUCGAGGAUCUCUCCACUCAUUCAUGAAGCGUAAUAAGGAGGACACGAAAGCUGGAGCUGGGGGAUGUCUGGCUAUUUUAUAUAAGAUGGCUGAGGAAGGCAGCACAGGUAUUCAAGCCAAGACCUGAGGGACACGAGCAAGCAAGCCACACAGACGUGUGCAAGAAAGGGGAUUGCAGCAAACGUGAAGAGGAAGCUGCAGCGUGGUUUGUAAAUCGUGAAAGAUCAAGGAAGCUGUGAGGACACAAUGAGAAGAUGGCCAUCUGCAAGCCAGGAAGAGAGCCCUCCCUGAGGAACUGAAUGGGCCAGCACCUUGGGCUUGGACUUCCAGUCUCCUGAACUGUGAGAAAGUCAACUUCUGUGUUUUACGCACCCAGUCUGGUAUUCUGUCAUGGCCGCCUGAGCAGACUAGCACAGUGGGUCAUGAUAUCAAUUUAGCAGUUCACGAUCAGCGUUUAAAAAAGGAAGAAUAGACUUUAAAAUGUCAGAAUGCGUUGCAUAUCAUAGGGGUAACAUUUCAUGAAGUUUUUUGUUUGCAUGUGUGUCCUGGAUCGUGUUGUAAAAUGUAUUUCUUCUGAGGGUCCUGGUCUAAGGGUUAAAAACUACCUGCUUUAAACACCAAACAAAGGUGACUUUUGGCAACUAAGCUGAUGCACAGUGCUAACGCCUAAAAGCUUCAGCCCAGCAUCCUACAGCAGCGGGCAGGCGUGCACGGGGCUUGUGUGAGACCUGUGUUCAGCCGCCACACCAUGGGCCAGAAAAGCAAAAGCUUUAGAUUGUUCCGGACCUCCAGUCCCCUCUCUGCCUGGCGAUGGGAAAUAGGACUGACUCCUUUGACCUGAGCUAGUUACCCAUCUGCACUAGAAUUCUGGACAAUUUGAGGAGGAGAGAGAAGUCUCAAGAGGCUUCUUGCUCAGUGAGGCCAUGACAAAAACGAUAUAAUAAUAUCUACACCCCCAACUAGUUCUAAAAGUUAUGUUAGUUUAAAAGGUUUUCUUAAAGAUCUUGGAAAGGAGAAACCAGCAUCCUCAAAACUGUGUCAGAGACACAUUGUUUCUCAGUAAAAUUCCUUCCAAAGUGGAGGGGGCCAGGGGGCAGUGAGGAAGUGUACACUUAAGAAACCCAGAAAGCUUACAGGCAGAAAUAGAUGAAUGACUCAGGGACUCGACCUCAGGGGGGGUUUCUGUGAUACGACAUGUAUGUGACACCUGCUGUUCUUAAUAACCUUCAGUUCUCUGAACUCUGCACUGGGACAAAGAGUAAAUAUGCCCACAAGCUUUUGUACUGGCAAGCCCAAAGAAGGAAGCUCUUGUUUCAGCGGAGCCAAAUUCCCCCUUUUCCAACAUGCCUCAGAUAAUAGUGCCAGUCCUGGUUGCGACAGCUUAGGUUUUUGUCCCAAAAUAGCUAUUAAGAAGACUGAUAUUAAAUGGAAUAAUUGGGGAAAACGUUGCCUCAAUUAGCUUUUCAGAAACUGUAGAGGGAAAGAGAGCAGAGGCAGCUUUGUUUGCGUAGAUUCAAAUUCCCCUCAUGUUUAAGUAUCGUCUGCCAUAGGUUCCCUAAAGAGAUGCAUAAAUCUUGUGAGACGAGACACUGCAUGAAAAAUCUCUCUUCCAGAUAAUGGUUAUGGUGGUUCUAAAACAUGACUUCAAAUUCUUUGGGACUCCUCCCAUCAAAAGUGGGGUGCUUGUGAAGAUAUUUCCAAGGACGUAGUUCCCUGGAAGGAAGAAGUUCUGCGCUCCAGUGGGACCUCAUCAGAUACCCCUCCAUCUCUCCAUCUCCGGCUCUCCAGGAUAUUCUUCACAGCCUCCUCCUGCUGUUGUCCCUCUGUCUCUCUACAUCUUGGGAUAAUGGAAAGAUGGCUUCAGAUCAGGCCUCCAUUGUGCAACUGGCCCAUCCAGAAACUCAAGAAACUUCCCUGUGCCCAAAGUGGAGGUGGGCCUGCUCUACACCCUGUGUCAUCUCUCACCAGUUACUUUAGCCUGCUCAAAAUGUCCAAUGAGCAGAACAGCAAAAGCACAGAGCAGUCAGGCACAGAAAGGGAGUCCCUCUUUCUCCCAGGUAACCAGUCUUGCGAGCCCUUCUCACCUGGCUAGGAGGAAGGAAGAACAUCCCCUUCCCAUGUCCUACAGGAAGGAGUACCUUUCCACCUGGAAAUUCAAUCCCAAAGUCUCCAAUUCCACUAACUCCUUUUAUAUCAGCUGACAGUAGGCAAAUGAUCAUGAGAUGAUUGGAGGAGCAAAACUGGUGCUCUUCCCUCUGAGAUGUCUCUGGUAGCUCUUUAGUUUCUGUGUAGUAUUUACUUCUUACUGUCUAUCAUUCAAAAACAAUGGAAAAAGUUCUGUGUAACAUUCUGCUAAUUGCAUAUGCCUCAGUUACUCUCUGUACUGGUCUAGUUAUCUGCCUCUUUUUCCAGACUGUGACCUCUUGAAGGCAGGCAUUGUGUCUUACCAUCUAACAUCUAGCAUAUCAAUAAGUAUUUCCGUGAACAGACACAAUUUAAGACAGGGAUUUCAUUUACCUUGAAAUCUUUACUGCCAGCUUUCAUUUUAUCAGAGUUUUUGUGAUACAGGUUCUAAGAAGAACUAAUUACAUAGGUAUUUCUGAACUUGUUGAAAAGCUGAAUCGGGAGAAGUGUGUCCUUACAAAAAUCAAAGGCUGGCUGGGUGGCAAUGAUAGAAUCAGAGAGGGUAGCCUCAUCUGGCCUCUUCCAAAAUAGGGUGCCAGGUGGCUGGAAGAAAAGAGGGUCUGCCUCCCUGAGCCUGUAGGAAAGAGAUCAUUUCCUAAUGGGUAGGUCUCCUUUGGUCACUGUGAAACGGGCUCAGUCAACCUCAGAGUGAGCAGAGAUGAAUCUACUUGCCUGUGGGACUUGGGUGUAAGUGGUCCUGCAGCGAGUACAUAUGUCAUCCACAUGGCUUGGAACAGCCAGAAGUAGAUUAGGAAAGUACAAAGCAGCUGGGGUCCUUGUACAGGCAGGCUCAAAAAGGGCUCAGGCGCUCAGCCCUCAUGAAAGUGCCAACUGGUACGUAUUUCUAGAGAAGAAUUUGACAACUGUUACCAAGAACGUAAAAACAUACACUUUAGAUCCAGCAAUACCACUUCUAGGAAUCGUUUCCAAAAAAGAUCAUCAGGAGUGGAACCCACAUGUGCUCAAAGGAUGCUUAUCUAAGUGUAUUAAUUAAAUUACUAUAUUAAUUAGUACAAGGGGAUAUUAUGUAGUUGGAAGUCACACUGUAGCUAAUAAAACAUGGGAAUGUUCAUGAUACAUUAAGUGAAAAAAGCCAGCACAAAAUGGCACUGUGGUGUGAUCUGCUUGUAGGGAUAGGCAGAAGAAGAUAGCAAAAAUAUUACCAGUGGUUGUCUCUACAGACCAGAGAGAUUAUGGGUGGUUUUA
rnacentral:lncRNA from 1 species